rnacentral:rRNA from 1 species
UACAGAGGUCUCGAGCGUUAGGCGGAAUCACUGGGCUUAAAGCGUGUGUAGGUGGAUCGUUAAGUACCUUGUGAAAUCCCUCGGCUUAACCGGGGAACUGCGUCCGAUACUGGAUGGCUUGAGUAUGGGAGAGGGAUGCGGAAUUCCAGGUGUAGCGGUGAAAUGCGUAGAUAUCUGGAGGAACACCGGUGGCGAAGGCGGCAUCCUGGACCAUUACUGACGCUGAGGAGCGAAAGCCAGGGGAGCAAACGGG